UACAACAUAGCGUUAAUGCACCAGAUCCCAUUAGAACUCCAUAGUUAAGUGCGCUUGACCUAGAGUAGUACUGGGAUGGGUGACCAUCUGAGAAGUCCUAGUGUUUUAC
rnacentral:rRNA from 1 species